rnacentral:pre_miRNA from 1 species
AGUUUUCGUUUUCCUCGGCAGUUAACUGCCGCCGGUUGCACAAAAACUUCGACAGUUUACUGCCGAAGGGCAU